GACGAACGCUGGCGGCGUGCCUAAUACAUGCAAGUAGAACGCUGAAGGAGGAGCUUGCUUCUCUGGAUGAGUUGCGAACGGGUGAGUAACGCGUAGGUAACCUGCCUGGUAGCGGGGGAUAACUAUUGGAAACGAUAGCUAAUACCGCAUAAUAGUAGAUGUUGCAUGACAUUUGCCUAAAAGGUGCAAUUGCAUCACUACCAGAUGGACCUGCGUUGUAUUAGCUAGUUGGUGGGGUAACGGCUCACCAAGGCGACGAUACAUAGCCGACCUGAGAGGGUGAUCGGCCACACUGGGACUGAGACACGGCCCAGACUCCUACGGGAGGCAGCAGUAGGGAAUCUUCGGCAAUGGACGGAAGUCUGACCGAGCAACGCCGCGUGAGUGAAGAAGGUUUUCGGAUCGUAAAGCUCUGUUGUAAGAGAAGAACGAGUGUGAGAGUGGAAAGUUCACACUGUGACGUUAUCUUACCAGAAAGGGACGGCUAACUACGUG
rnacentral:rRNA from 1 species